rnacentral:tRNA from 1 species
AAGGGUAUAGCUCAGUGGUAGAGCAUGUGCUUAGCAUGCAUGAGGUCCUGGUUCAAUUCCCAGCACCUCAA